UUCAAUAUCGUUUUGUCUAGGUGUAUAUAUAAAUUAGCUGACAUCAUUCUCCUAACGUAACAAGUAGGGUAAGAUUCAUAAAUUUUACAUCCACUAUGAGAAUGAAGUCGCUACGAAAGCCGCACACGCUCAUCAUCUUGGCGAUGCUACUGCUGCUCGUGCUGGCAACGGAGGCCCAUGAUCAUUGUCCCGACGGGUUCUGUAAAGGACCAAGUGGCACGUUCAAGGGUGCGUGUUCGGAAGAUGAUGAGUGCACGGAUAGUUGUCGCGACGAGGGUUUUCGAGUUGGCUUUUGUCAAAUUGGACCUUUUAAUGGGGCAUGCAAAUGUUGUAAGCCAUGCAUUAACUAGAAUUUGGCGGAGAUUAAGGAAACAUUAUCUGGUGGUGCUAGCAUGCAUCUUAUUUACUUACAGAAUGUUUUUUGAAUUAUUUACUUGUGCUUGUUGUAACAAUUUUCCUAUUGAGUUUAAUAAAUUGGAGCCUCGUUUAUUGCA